GCGUGUAGAAACGUUACUGGUAGGGGUGGAAAUAAGAAAAGAGGUAGUCCUGUAGCUUCCGGUAGUAAUAGUAAUGACCCAAUAACACAUGUUUCUGAAUCAUCGCCUAAUGAUAAUGUAGAGAUAGAUUAUGAACAAUUACAAGAAGAUUUUGGAAUAGAAGAUAAUGAAAUUGGAAUAAAAGAUGAGAUACCACCUAUACCUACUAGUGGAAAUGUUGGUAGUAUUGGAGUUGGAGUUGCUAGUGCUACAAGGGGUAGUAGACUACCAGUGGCUCCG
rnacentral:lncRNA from 1 species